CCGUCAAGUUGGAAACAUUGCUCGUCCGCCGCAAAAAUAACAAAAUUGUGUGCGGUCAACUUCAAGGAUUCGCCAGGCUUUCCCAGCCGAGGAGCUCUCUGUUGGUCGGUCAUUACUAAAGCGUUAGGAAGCAGCAAAGUUGUGGGCCCAGAACUUGGCCAGAUACAAGAGCUGAUUUUAAUGAUGUGGCUGAUUACAGACGACUCAAUUGCCCUUAAUCCUUUUUGGGCAGCAGGCAAUUGGAUUUAAUUGGCUGUACGACAACAAUACCCAUUAUGAGCAGGGAAAAUUACGCAAGGACGACAACCAUAACCACGUAAGCGCAUCCACAUCUCACGUGUCGCCGUCAACGGAGCCACGUAAUCGCUCCGAACAACUGCCUAUCAAUCGGGGCGGGGGACGGGGGGCACCUACACUCCAGACAUCCGGGUGGCAAAAAAUUAAUAUGGCUAGCAUAUGGUGUACACGAUUUUAAUGGUCGACAUGACGAGGAACAGGCAACAUCGGGCGACUAACAAUAGACAUGACAGGCGACUGGAGGAGCAGCAGCAGAUGUCGGAUGAAGUGCCACUCCCACUUCCCCAGCCGCCCCCCAAUAAUGUCCUAAUGUUCCAUCAACAUGUGCUCUUAUUACCGGUAAUCGCCUACGGGCUGGUUUAUAUUUACCAAAAUGUUGGUAAUGGCUGCAGCAUCAUUAUAUUCUACCUUAAAGAAAUGGAGAAAAAUUUCAAAUGCUUUUGAAAGUUAAGUUUCUGGCUAAGACCGGCCUCGACUAUCGAUGCAAUCAGCUAAGGACCAAUUUACCAACAUGUCAACGUGGACGGACGGGAAUCGAAGUAACCGCAGUUGGGGAUUGCGGGGAAAUUGUGCUCUGGAGGAAAGCUUUAGAUUUGCACACAUUACCACUCAAUCUUCAUAUACCCAGUGUCUGUGAUAUGCAGGAUUUAAGGCCCAUACCCAAUCUCCCUUUGGCCAGCUAAGUCCUUUUCGCAGGACCUCGGCAUGCACAUGAUGUCCACAUGGCCGCAAAGAUUUAUUUACAAUUGUGUUGAGACAUAAUUCCUUUUGAUCGAUUGUGGGACCCUCGCUUCCAAGGACUCUGGAUGCGGAUGGGGAUUGGGAUGUGGAGCUUUUGUGGUCAGUUGUAAGUGAUGAUUCUUUUGGCCCCUUGCGUCCCUUUUUGUCUUGGCUGCAUUUCGUUGGGCGCCGUUUUUGCUGCAGGGUGAAAGUCGAGCAGAAAGGCAGAGAAAGUCGAGCGAAGGCAGAAUUAUUUGCGCAAUUUAUGUGGCUUUGAUUUCAUUGGCAAGAUGUACGGUCCGGGCGAGAGCAAUUUAUGGUAACUUGAUAAUUUGUGUUAGCAUUUGCCAACAGUUCAAAGGAAUCGGAUUCUGGGACUGGAUGCAAUUUAUUUGCCGGACAUGUGGCAAUACUGCCAAAUGACAUUAGAAUAAGGAAAUUGCAAUCGAGUGCUACGAUAUGGGGGGGGGGAGUCAAAAAUGGAAUUCAAAUUAGGAACAUACAGAGAAUCCAUCCGGGGAUUAUUUGCUCAUGCAUGCAAUAUGCUCUUCAAUUACUUUUCUGGCCACACAGAAAAACAAAGGGUUGCUAUACCC